rnacentral:rRNA from 1 species
GUUGAGAUUCCUGUACUACAGUAUGACAGAACUGUGGGGACGCAGAAGGAGAGCACUACCUGGAAUGGAAUCCAGGGGCAAGCACAGGAGGGGUACGGCUGGAAAAACCGCCGUGCAACCCAAAGGUGUGACGCAUACCGAACUAAAGUAGGGAAAUGUGUGAGCCGGCUGCCGAGAAAAGCCGCUAUUGUUUGUACUGUACCCGUACCGUAAACCGACACAGGUGGAUGAGGAGAGAAUCCUAAGGCCGACGGAAGAAGCAUUGCUAAGGAACUCGGCAAAAUGACCCUGUAACUUCGGGAGAAAGGGUGCCUCGAAAGAGGCCGCAGAGAAUAGGCCCAAGCAACUGUUUAGCAAAAACACAGGUCUAUGCAAAACCGCAAGGUGAAGUAUAUGGGCUGACGCCUGCCCGGUGCUGGAAGGUUAAGGGGAGAUGUCAGGAGACGAAGCAUCGAACUUAAGCCCCAGUAAACGGCGGCCGUAACAAUAACGGUCCUAAGGUAGCGAAAUUCCUUGUCGGGUAAGUUCCGACCCGCACGAAAGGCGUAAUGAUUUGGGCGCUGUCUCGGCAAUGCAUCCGGUGAAAUUGAAGUGCCAGUGAAGAUGCUGGCUACCCGCGCCAGGACGGAAAGACCCCAUGGAGCUUUACUCCAGCUUGAUACUGGGAUUCGGUAUUGUAUGUACAGGAUAGGUGGGAGGCUGAGAAAUGGUGACGCCAGUCGCCAUGGAGCCGCUGUUGGGAUACCACCCUUGCAGUACUGGAUUUCUAACCAGCAGCCGUGAUCCGGCUGGGGGACAAUGUCAGGUGGGGAGUUUGACUGGGGCGGUCGCCUCCGAAAGGGUAUCGGAGGCGCUCAAAGGUUCCCUCAGAAUGGUCGGAAACCAUUCGAAGAGUGCAAAGGCAGAAGGGAGCUUGACUGCGACACCGACGGGUGGGGCAGGUACGAAAGUAGGACUUAGUGAUCCGGUGGUAUUAAGUGGGAAUGCCAUCGCUCAACGGAUAAAAGCUACCCUGGGAUAACAGGCUUAUCACUCCCAAGAGUUCACAUCGACGGAGUGGUUUGGCACCUCGAUGUCGGCUCAUCGCAUCCUGGGGCUGUAGUAGGUCCCAAGGGUUGGGCUGUUCGCCCAUUAAAGCGGUACGCGAGCUGGGUUCAGAACGUCGUGAGACAGUUCGGUCCCUAUCCGGCGUGGGCGUAGGAUAUUUGAGAGGAGCUGACCUUAGUACGAGAGGACCGGGUUGGACUGACCUCUGGUGCACCGGUUGUCAUGCUAAUGGCACAGCCGGGUAGCCAAGUCGGGAAGGGAUAAACGCUGAAGGCAUCUAAGCGUGAAGCCCCCCUCAAGAUGAGAUAUCCCCCGCAUAAGCGGUAAGACCCCUUGAAGACGACGAGGUAGAUAGGGCAGAGGUGGAAGUGCAGUAAUGUAUGGAGCUGACUGCUACUAAUAGGUCGAAGGCUUAACC